rnacentral:rRNA from 1 species
ACGCUGGCGGCAGGCCUAACACAUGCAAGUCGAGCGGUAGCACAGAGAGCUUGCUCUCGGGUGACGAGCGGCGGACGGGUGAGUAAUGUCUGGGAAACUGCCUGAUGGAGGGGGAUAACUACUGGAAACGGUAGCUAAUACCGCAUAACGUCGCAAGACCAAAGUGGGGGACCUUCGGGCCUCAUGCCAUCAGAUGUGCCCAGAUGGGAUUAGCUGGUAGGUGGGGUAACGGCUCACCUAGGCGACGAUCCCUAGCUGGUCUGAGAGGAUGACCAGCCACACUGGAACUGAGACACGGUCCAGACUCCUACGGGAGGCAGCAGUGGGGAAUAUUGCACAAUGGGCGCAAGCCUGAUGCAGCCAUGCCGCGUGUGUGAAGAAGGCCUUCGGGUUGUAAAGCACUUUCAGCGGGGAGGAAGGCGGUGAGGUUAAUAACCUCAUCGAUUGACGUUACCCGCAGAAAAAGCACCGGCUAACUCCGUGCCAGCAGCCGCGGUAAUACGGAGGGUGCAAGCGUUAAUCGGAAUUACUGGGCGUAAAGCGCACGCAGGCGGUCUGUCAAGUCGGAUGUGAAAUCCCCGGGCUCAACCUGGGAACUGCAUUCGAAACUGGCAGGCUAGAGUCUUGUAGAGGGGGGUAGAAUUCCAGGUGUAGCGGUGAAAUGCGUAGAGAUCUGGAGGAAUACCGGUGGCGAAGGCGGCCCCCUGGACAAAGACUGACGCUCAGGUGCGAAAGCGUGGGGAGCAAACAGGAUUAGAUACCCUGGUAGUCCACGCUGUAAACGAUGUCGAUUUGGAGGUUGUGCCCUUGAGGCGUGGCUUCCGGAGCUAACGCGUUAAAUCGACCGCCUGGGGAGUACGGCCGCAAGGUUAAAACUCAAAUGAAUUGACGGGGGCCCGCACAAGCGGUGGAGCAUGUGGUUUAAUUCGAUGCAACGCGAAGAACCUUACCUGGUCUUGACAUCCACAGAACUUUCCAGAGAUGGAUUGGUGCCUUCGGGAACUGUGAGACAGGUGCUGCAUGGCUGUCGUCAGCUCGUGUUGUGAAAUGUUGGGUUAAGUCCCGCAACGAGCGCAACCCUUAUCCUUUGUUGCCAGCGGUCCGGCCGGGAACUCAAAGGAGACUGCCAGUGAUAAACUGGAGGAAGGUGGGGAUGACGUCAAGUCAUCAUGGCCCUUACGACCAGGGCUACACACGUGCUACAAUGGCAUAUACAAAGAGAAGCGACCUCGCGAGAGCAAGCGGACCUCAUAAAGUAUGUCGUAGUCCGGAUUGGAGUCUGCAACUCGACUCCAUGAAGUCGGAAUCGCUAGUAAUCGUAGAUCAGAAUGCUACGGUGAAUACGUUCCCGGGCCUUGUACACACCGCCCGUCACACCAUGGGAGUGGGUUGCAAAAGAAGUAGGUAGCUUAACCUUCGGGAGGGCGCUUACCACUUUGUGAUUCAUGACUGGGGGAAGUCG